rnacentral:rRNA from 1 species
CGGGUGAGUAACGCGUGGAUAACCUGCCGUAUACUGGGGGAUAACACUUAGAAAUAGGUGCUAAUACCGCAUAAGCGCACAGUCUCGCAUGAGACGGUGUGAAAAACUCCGGUGGUAUACGAUGGAUCCGCGUCUGAUUAGCUUGUUGGCGGGGUAACAGCCCACCAAGGCGACGAUCAGUAGCCGGCCUGAGAGGGUGAACGGCCACAUUGGGACUGAGACACGGCCCAAACUCCUACGGGAGGCAGCAG